AUUGCCUAUUGACAGUCUAUACAUGGAAGAAGUGCACGUUAAGUUUGGAGAGGAAUUAUGCUUCACUGUUGGAGGUCAGCAUAUUCCUUUUGGUGCAUCACCACAGAAUAUCUGGACUGAACUUGGACCUCCUUGUAGAAUCUAUCAGAAGCAAAUAAUUCUACUGUUCAGAUAUCUUUUUCUUGUGUUUUGCUAUUCUGAACUCCUUAGUACUACUUUAUAGGGACUAGUAUUUAGAAAGAUUUUAAUU